AGCGAACGCUGGCGGCAGGCCUAACACAUGCAAGUCGAACGGAUCCUUCGGGAUUAGUGGCGGACGGGUGAGUAACACGUGGGAACGUGCCCUUUGGUUCGGAACAACUCAGGGAAACUUGAGCUAAUACCGGAUGUGCCCUUCGGGGGAAAGAUUUAUCGCCAUUGGAGCGGCCCGCGUCUGAUUAGCUAGUUGGUGAGGUAAAGGCUCACCAAGGCGACGAUCAGUAGCUGGUCUGAGAGGAUGAUCAGCCACAUUGGGACUGAGACACGGCCCAAACUCCUACGGGAGGCAGCAGUGGGGAAUCUUGCGCAAUGGGCGAAAGCCUGACGCAGCCAUGCCGCGUGAAUGAUGUGGGUCUUAGGAUUGUAAAAUUCUUUCACCGGGGACGAUAAUGACGGUACCCGGAGAAGAAGCCCCGGCUAACUUCGUGCCAGCCGCCGCAGUAAAAC
rnacentral:rRNA from 1 species